UUGGCUAGUUGAUCGGCAAGUAUCUGAAGGACAGUCGUUGCCUCCCUUUAUCAGAGAGC
rnacentral:ribozyme from 1 species